GACGAACGCUGGCGGCGCGCCUAACACAUGCAAGUCGAACGAGCGAGAGAGAGCUUGCUUUCUUGAGCGAGUGGCGAACGGGUGAGUAACGCGUGAGGAACCUGCCUCAAAGAGGGGGACAACAGUUGGAAACGACUGCUAAUACCGCAUAAGCCCACGACCCGGCAUCGGGUAGAGGGAAAAGGAGCAAUCCGCUUUGAGAUGGCCUCGCGUCCGAUUAGCUAGUUGGUGAGGUAAUGGCCCACCAAGGCGACGAUCGGUAGCCGGACUGAGAGGUUGAACGGCCACAUUGGGACUGACACACGGCCCAGACUCCUACGGGAGGCAGCAGUGGGGAAUAUUGCACAAUGGGGGAAACCCUGAUGCAGCGACGCCGCGUGGAGGAAGAAGGUCUUCGGAUUGUAAACUCCUGUUGUUGAGGAAGAUAAUGACGGUACUCAACAAGGAAGUGACGGCUAACUACGUGCCAGCAGCCGCGGUAAAACGUAGGUCACAAGCGUUGUCCGGAAUUACUGGGUGUAAAGGGAGCGCAGGCGGGAAGACAAGUUGGAAGUGAAAUCCAUGGGCUCAACCCAUGAACUGCUUUCAAAACUGUUUUUCUUGAGUAGUGCAGAGGUAGGCGGAAUUCCCGGUGUAGCGGUGGAAUGCGUAGAUAUCGGGAGGAACACCAGUGGCGAAGGCGGCCUACUGGGCACCAACUGACGCUGAGGCUCGAAAGUGUGGGUAGCAAACAGGAUUAGAUACCCUGGUAGUCCACACUGUAAACG
rnacentral:rRNA from 1 species